GAUGGGGAUACGUGGAUAGGGUAUGUUGGAUUCCAAGCUCAGACCAUUAGGAAUCAUUCUUCCAGAGUCCUGGACCAAGACUGUUUAGUUUGCUGGCACCUACACCUAUGCAUCUCGGUAGUGCUGUUUCUCAACAUUGGAUAUCAG